ensembl:lncRNA novel transcript
GGGAUCCUCCAUAUGCUGAACGCUGGUUCCCCGGGUCCCCUUAUUUCUUUCUCUAUACUUUGUCUCUGUGUCUUUUUCUUUUCCAAGUCUCUCGUUCCACCUUACGAGAAACACCCACAGGUGUGGAGGGGCAACCCACCCCUUCAAGCCUCUGCUCCUCCACCCUAUAAUUCUUUUAUCACCUCCCCUCCACACACCCGUCCGGCUUACAGUUUCAUUCCGUGACUAGCCCUCCCCCACCUGCCCAGCAAUUUACUCUUAAAAAGGUGGCUGGAGCUAAAGGCAUAGUCAAGGUUAAUGCUCCUUUUUCUUUAUCCCAAAUCAGAUAGCGUUUAGGCUCUUUUUCAUCAAAUAUAAAAAACCCAGCCCAGUUCAUGGCUCGUUCGGCAGCAACCCUGAGAUGCUUUACAGCCCUAGACCUAAAAGGUCAAAAGGCUGUAUUAUUCUCAAUAUACAUUUUAUUACUCAAUCUGCUCCCGACAUUAAAUAAAACUCCAAAAAUUAAAUUCCAGCCCUCAAACCCCACAACAGGAUUUAAUUAACCUCACCUUCAAGGUGUACAAUAAUAGAAAAAAGUCGCAAUUCCUUGCCUUUACUGUGAGACAAACCCCAGCCACAUCUCCAGCCCACAAGAACUUCCAAACGCCUAAACCGCAGUGGCCAGGCGUUCCUCCAGAACCUCCUCCCCCAGGAACUUGCUACAAGUGCCAGAAAUCUGACCACCAGGCCGAGGAAUGCCUGCAGCCCAGGAUUCCUCCUAAGCCGUGUCCCAUCUGCGCGGGACCCCACUGGAAAUCGGACUGUUCAACUCACCUGGCAGCCACUCCCAGAACCCCUGGAAUUCUGGCCCAAGGCUCUCUGACUGACUCCUUCUCGGCUUAGCAGCUGAAGACUGAUGCUGCCUGAUCGCCUUGGAAGCCCCGUAGACCAUCGCGGAUGCCGAGCUUUAAGUAAUCUCACAGUGGAGGGUAAGUCCUUCCCCUUCUUAGUCAAUACGGAGGCUACCCACUCCACAUUACCUACUUUUCAAAGGCCUGUUUCCCUUGCCUCCAUAACUGCUGUGCGUAUUGACAGCCAGACUUCUAAACCUCUUAAAACUCCCCAACCCUGCUGCCAAUUUAGACAAUACUCUUUUGAGCACUCCUUUUAGUUAUCCCCACCUGCCCAGUUCCCUUAUUAGGCUGAGACACUUUAACUAAAUGAUCUGCUUCCCUGACUAUUCCUGGAUUACAGCUGCAUCUUAUUGCUGCCCUUCUUCCCAAUCCAAAGCCUCCUUUGCGUCCUCCUCUUGUAUUCCCCCACCUUAACCCACAAGUAUAAGAUACCUCUACUCCCUCCUUGGUGACCAAUCAUGCACCCCUUACCAUCUCAUUAAAACCUAAUCACCCUCACACGGCUCAAUGCCAAUAUCCCAUCCCACAGCAUGCUUUGAAAGGAUUAAAGCCUGUUAUCACUCGCCUGCUACAGCAUGGCCUUCUAAAGCCUAUAAACUCUCCUUACAAUUCCCCCAUUUUACCUGUCCUAAAACCAGACAAGCCUUACAAGUUAGUUCAGGAUCUAUGCCUUAUCAACCAAAUUGUUUUGCCUAUCCACCCCAUGGUGCUAAACCCAUAUACUCUCCUAUCCUCAAUACCUCUCUCCACAAUCCAUUACUCUGUACUGGAUCUCAAACGUGCUUUCUUUACUAUUCCUUUGCACCCGUCAUCCCAGCCUCUCUUCGCUUCACUUGGACUGACUCUGACACCCAUCAGGCUCAGCAAAUUACCUGGGCUGUACUGCCACAAGGCUUCACAGACAGCCCCCAUUACUUCAGUCAAGCCCAAAUUUCAUCCUCAUCUGUUACCUAUCUCGGCAUAAUUCUCAUAAAAACACACGUGCUCUCCCUGUUAAUCAUGUCUGAUUAAUCUCCCAAACCUCAAUCCCUUACAAAACAACAACUCCUUUCCUUCCUAGGCAUGGUUAGUGCGGUCAGAAUUCUUACACAAGAGCCAGGACCGCACCCUGUAGCCUUUCUGUGCAAACAACUUGACCUUACUGUUUUAGCCUAGCCCUCAUGUCUCCGUGCAGCGGCUGCUGCCGCCCUAAUACUUUUAGAGGCCCUCAAAAUCACAAACUAUGCUCAACUUACUCUCUACAUUUCUCAUAACUUCCAAAAUCUAUUUUCUUCCUCAUACCUGACGCAUAUACUUUCUGCUCCCUGGCUCCUUCAGCUGUACUCACUCGUUGUUAAGUCCCACAAUUACCAUUGUUCCUGGCCCGGACUUCAAUCCGGCCUCCCACAUUAUUCCUGAUACCACACCUGACCCCCAUGACUGUAUCUCUCUGAUCCACCUGACAUUCACCCAAUUUCCCCAUAUUUCCUUCUUUCCUGUUCCUCACCCUGAUCACGCUUGAUUUAUUGAUGGUGGUUUCCACCAGGCCUAAUCGCCACACACCAGCAAAGGCAGGUUAUGCUAUAGUACAAGCCACUAGCCGGCCUCUUAGAACCUCCCAUUUCCUUUCCAUCGUGGAAAUCUAUCCUCAAGGAAAUAACUUCUCAGUGUUCCAUCUGCUAUUCUACUAUCCCUCAGGGAUUAUUCAGGCCCCCUCCCUUCCCUACACAUCAAGCUCGAGGAUUUGCCCCCACCCAGGACUGGCAAAUUAGCUUUACUCAACAUGCCCCGAGUCAGAUAACUAAAAUACCUCUUAGUCUAGGUAGACACUUUCACUGAAUAGGUACAGACCUUUCCUACAGGGUCUGAGAAGGCCACCGCAGUCAUUUCUUCCCUUCUGUCAGACAUAAUUCCUCAGUUUAGUCUUCCCACCUCUAUACAGUCUGUUAACAGACCAGCCUUUAUUAGUCAAAUCAGCCAAGCAGGUUUUCAGGCUCUUAGUAUUCAGUGAAACCUUUAUAUCCCUUACUGUCCUGUGUCUUCAGGAAAAGUAGAACGGACUAAAGGUCUUUUAAAAACACACCUCACCAAGCUCAGCCACCAACUUAAAAAGGACUGGACAAUACUUUUACCACUUUCCCUUCUCAGAAGUCAGACAUGUCCUCAGAAUGCUACAAGGUACAGCCCAUUUGAGCUCCUGUAUAGAUGCUCCUUUUUAUUAGGCCCCAGUCUCAUUCCAGACAUCAGACCAACUUCCACCGUGCCCCCAAAAAAACUUGUCAUCCCUACUAUCUUCUGUCUAGUCAUACUCCUAUUCACCGUUCUCAACUACUCAUACAUGCUCUGCUCUUGUUUACACUGCCGGUUUACACUGUUUCUCUAAGCCAUCACAGCUGAUAUCUCCUGGUGCUAUCCCCAAACUGCCACUCUUACCUCUUGAAGUAAAUAAAUAAUCUUUGCUGGCAGGACUAUGCUGAAUCUCCUUAGGCACUCUCUAAUCAGAUGUCCUGAGUCGUCCCAAUUCUUAGACCUUUUAUACCUGUUUUUCUCCUUCUCUUAUUCCAUUUAGUUUUUCAAUUCAUACAAAACUGUAUCCAGGCCAUCACCAAUAAUUCUAAAUGACAAAUGUUUCUUCUAACAACCCCACAAUAUCACCCCUUACCACAAAAUCUUCCUUCAGCUUAAUCUCUCCCACUCUAGGUUCCCACGCCACCCCUAAUCCCGCUCGAAGCAGCCCUGAGAAACAUCCCCCAUUAUCUCUCCAUACCAUCCCCCAAAAUUUUCGCCAUCCCAACACUUUACCACUAUUUCAUUUUAUUUUUCUUAUUAAUAUAAGAAGACAGGAAUGUCAGCCCUCUGGGCCCAAGCUAAGCCAUCAUAUCCCCUGUGACCUGCACGUACACAUCCAGAUGGCUGGUUGCUGCCUUAACUGAUGACAAUCCACCACAAAAGAAGUGAAAAUGGCCCGUUCCUGCCUUAACUGAUGACAUUGUCUUGUGAAAUUCCUUCUCCUGGCUCAUCCUGGCUCAAAAGCUCCCCCACUGAGCACCUUGUGACCCCCACUCCUGCCUGCCAGAGAACAACCCCCUUUGACUGUAAUUUUCCUUUAUCUACCCAAAUCUUAUAAAAUGGCCCCACCCCUAUCUCUCUUCACUGACUCUCUUUUUGGACUCAGCCUGCCUGCACCCAAGUGAUUAAAAGCUUUAUUGCUCACA